GACAUGCUAGUCGAGCGCCUUCCGGCCACGAAGAAGGCGCGGCACACAGCUCAGUAACACGUAGCUAACCUGCCCUCGGGACGAGAACACCCCCGGGAAACUGGGGCUAAUUCUCGAUAGGCGAAGAACUCUGGAAUGAGUCUUUACCCAAAAGACGUUUAGAUCAUGCUUCUAGGCGUCGCCCAAGGAUGGGGCUGCGGCCGAUCAGGUAGUUGGUGAGGCAAUGGCUCACCAAGCCUUUAACCGGUGCGGGCCGUGGGAGCGGGAGCCCGGAGAUGGGCACUGAGACAAGGGCCCGGGCCCUACGGGGCGCAGCAGUCGCGAAAACUUUGCAAUAAGCGAAAGCUUGACAGGGCUAUCCCGAGUGCCAUCCGCUGAGGAAGGCUUUUACCCAGUCUAGUAAGCUGGGGGAAUAAGGAGAGGGCAAGUCUGGUGUCAGCCGCCGCGGUAAUACCAGCUCUCCGAGUGGUGUGGAUGUUUAUUGGGCCUAAAGCAUCCGUAGCUGGCUGAGUUAGUCCCCUGUUAAAUCCACCGAAUCAAUCGUUGGAUUGCGGGGGAUACUGCUCGGCUAGGGGACGGGAGAGGCAGACGGUAUUUCCGGGGUAAGGGUGAAAUCUUAUAAUCCCGGGAAGACCACCAGUGGCGAAGGCUGUCUGCUAGAACGCGCCCGACGGUGAGGGAUGAAAGCUGGGGUAGCGAACCGGAUUAGAUACCCGGGUAGUCCCAGCCGUAAACGAUGCAGCUAGGUGUUUGGGCGGCCACGUGCCGCUCUAGUGCCGCAGGGAAGCUGUUAAGCCUGCCGCCUGGGGAGUACGAUCGCAAGAUUGAAACUUAA
rnacentral:rRNA from 1 species